UCCCUGGUGAUUUGGUGGUUAAAAAUCUGCACUGCCAAAGCAGGGGGUGCAGGUUCGAUCCCUGGUCAGGGAA
rfam:Ovis aries breed Texel chromosome 13, whole genome shotgun sequence.